rnacentral:rRNA from 1 species
GACGAACGCUGGCGGCGUGCUUAACACAUGCAAGUCGAACGGAAAGGCCCUGCUUUUGUGGGGUGCUCGAGUGGCGAACGGGUGAGUAACGCGUGAGUAACCUGCCCUUGACUUUGGAAUAACUUCAGGAAACUGGGGCUAAUACCGGAUAGGAGCUCCUGCUGCAUGGUGGGGGUUGGAAAGUUUCGGCGGUUGGGGAUGGACUCGCGGCUUAUCAGCUUGUUGGUGGGGUAGUGGCUUACCAAGGCUUUGACGGGUAGCCGGCCUGAGAGGGUGACCGGCCACAUUGGGACUGAGAUACGGCCCAGACUCCUACGGGAGGCAGCAGUGGGGAAUAUUGCACAAUGGGCGGAAGCCUGAUGCAGCAACGCCGCGUGCGGGAUGACGGCCUUCGGGUUGUAAACCGCUUUCGCCUGUGACGAAGCGUGAGUGACGGUAAUGGGUAAAGAAGCACCGGCUAACUACGUG